rnacentral:tRNA from 1 species
GCGCCCGUAGCUCAGGUGGAUAGAGCAGCGGUUUCCUAAACCGCGUGUCGGGGGUUCGAGUCCCUCCGGGCGUACCA